rnacentral:rRNA from 1 species
GAUGAACGCUGGCGGCGUGCCUAAUACAUGCAAGUCGAGCGAACAGAUGAGGAGCUUGCUCCUCUGACGUUAGCGGCGGACGGGUGAGUAACACGUGGAUAACCUACCUAUAAGACUGGGAUAACUUCGGGAAACCGGGGCUAAUACCGGAUAAUAUAUUGAACCGCAUGGUUCAAUAGUGAAAGACGGUUUUGCUGUCACUUAUAGAUGGAUCCGCGCCGCAUUAGCUAGUUGGUAAGGUAACGGCUUACCAAGGCAACGAUGCGUAGCCGACCUGAGAGGGUGAUCGGCCACACUGGAACUGAGACACGGUCCAGACUCCUACGGGAGGCAGCAGUAGGGAAUCUUCCGCAAUGGGCGAAAGCCUGACGGAGCAACGCCGCGUGAGUGAUGAAGGUCUUCGGAUCGUAAAACUCUGUUAUUAGGGAAGAACAAAUGUGUAAGUAACUAUGCACGUCUGGACGGUACCUAAUCAGAAAGCCACGGCUAACUACGU